rnacentral:rRNA from 1 species
UACGUAGGGGGCAAGCGUUGUCCGGAAUUAUUGGGCGUAAAGAGCGCGUAGGCGGUCCGAUAAGUCGGCUGUGAAAGUCAAGGGCUCAACCCUUGGAAGCCGGCCGAUACUGUCGGACUAGAGUCCGGAAGAGGCGAGUGGAAUUCCCGGUGUAGCGGUGAAAUGCGCAGAUAUCGGGAGGAACACCAAUUGCGAAGGCAGCUCGCUGGGACGGUACUGACGCUGAGGCGCGAAAGCGUGGGAGCAACAGG